rnacentral:sRNA from 1 species
CCGUUUGAAAAAAAUUCACAAAAUCAAUUGGACAAGAAAAUCACAGCUCUCUCUCCUUCUAUCGGAAAUUAAGCCUUCUUCGGAGUCCCAACCUUUCCAGCUGCUCCAGCAGAAUCCGUUGAUGCCACCGACGAUGUAGCUGUAAGAUCCCUCGCUCGCGCAGCUGCACCCAGUGCGCUAGAACUGCUACUCCUGCCAUUGCCGCUGCUGAAGGUGGAGCUGGAACUGGAACUGGCCCGUCUCAUAUACUUCUGUCGGCACAUACCGAGGACAAGGAAGGUGACGAGCAGGAACCAGGAGCCGCCUAGGAUGAAGAGGAUUACAAGGGAGGCCAUAUCUGCUCGUCCCGUUUCUUCCUAUCCCCUCCUUUCCUCCGAUUUCUCCUGGUCUGCUCUCUCUCUGUGGUUCCCUUAUCAGCGGCUCUCUCGAUCCUAUUAGGAGACAAGGUUUUUGGAAAACUCGUCCUGGUUGUUCAGAGGAUGGGUAUUAAGGGAGGUGGAAGGCAAGACGGGCAGCAGAGGUAUGAAGGAUUGGAUGAUAAGAUGACUUCUCGCGCGCGCUCGCCGCGUUUGUUGGGUAUUAGAUGAUUAACUUAACGUGUGAUGCUAACGAAAAAUAAUGUAUAUGGACAAGGCUAUGGAAAAUAUGAUGUUCCCUUUUCUUUCUCUUUUCUCUUUUUUCUUCUUUUCCUCUUUCUUGUCGGAUUUCCUCGGCUAAUGGUGUGAUUGGAUGGUUGAAUGCCAAAUGCCAGGAAAUCGUGAGGAACUCGAUGGUGGCGACCAGCACAGAAGCCGGCUUGCUUUUUUGCCAUGCACAUGCACGCGCCGUGCUGGUUCAAUCUCAACACAUAGGAAAAUACACAGGUAGUGUGAGAAGGAAGCCAAAGAAAGAGGUAAUAAGAGAACCCCUCCAAAAGAAAAUUUAAAUGCGCAGCCAGCAAAGAGCAUUAAGAAAUUUUUUUUUUUUUUGACCCGACAAAAAAUGUCAUUAUGCAAUAAAAAUUCCGAAUUGGUAUAUGUGCGAUUCCUUUUGCCUUUGGUCUUGCGCAAGGAUAUAUAGAAAGUAUGAGCCUGAUUGGCUUGAUGCUGGUGUGUGGACCGGCCAGUUGUAUGCUUGGUACCUUUCCUUGUCCUUCCUUUGACUUUCUAGCUGCGAGACGCUUGCAUGGAAUGGGACCUGAAAGAAAUGAAAGGGAAUAUCAGGAAAUAGGGCGGCAAUGUAGUUCGGAA